rnacentral:rRNA from 1 species
UACGGAGGAUGCAAGCGUUAUCCGGAUUUAUUGGGUUUAAAGGGUGCGCAGGUUGUUUGAUAAGUCAGUGGUGAAAGUCUGUCGCUUAACGGUAGGAUUGCCAUUGAUACUGUUAGACUUGAAUAUGGAUGAGGUAGGCGGAAUGUGUAGUGUAGCGGUGAAAUGCAUAGAUAUUACACAGAACACCGAUUGCGAAGGCAUCUCACAAAGCCGUUAUUGACGCUGAGGCACGAAAGUGUGGGGAUCAAACAGGAUUA